rnacentral:rRNA from 1 species
CACGUAGGGUGCGAGCGUUGUCCGGAAUUAUUGGGCGUAAAGAGCUCGUAGGCGGUGUGUCGCGUCGGCCGUGAAAACCUGCAGCUUAACUGUGGGCUUGCGGUCGAUACGGGCAUCACUGGAGUUCGGCAGGGGAGACUGGAAUUCCUGGUGUAGCGGUGAAAUGCGCAGAUAUCAGGAGGAACACCGGUAGCGAAGGCGGGUCUCUGGGCCGAUACUGACGCUGAGGAGCGAAGGCGUGGGGAGCGAACAGG